rnacentral:rRNA from 1 species
CAGUAGCCGCGGUAAGACAGAGGAUGCAAGCGUUAUCCGGAAUGAUUGGGCGUAAAGCGUCUGUAGGUGGCUUUUCAAGUCCGCCGUCAAAUCCCAGGGCUCAACCCUGGACAGGCGGUGGAAACUACCAAGCUGGAGUACGGUAGGGGCAGAGGGAAUUUCCAGUGGAGCGGUGAAAUGCGUUGAGAUCGAAAAGAACACCAACAGCGAAAGCACUCUGCUGGGACGACACUGACACUAAGAGACGAAAGCUAGGGGAGCAAAUGGGAUUAGAUACCCGGGUAGUCCCUGUCUCUUAUAC